rnacentral:lncRNA from 1 species
AUUUUUGGGCUGGAACCUGAGACUAUUAUUUAGGUUUUAAGUUGAGGUCAGCCUGUUUUUUCAAGAUACGUGUGAAACCGAGGGAACAAUGAAUAUAGGAGAUUAUUUUAGGACAAAUUACUUAACUACACUCCUUUACUUACCUUAAUAUCCAUUUAUCCCUACUUAUUUCAAAAAUUUCAAAAAUCCCUUAUUUUACCUAUGUAUCCCGUGCACAACGCUAUGUAUCCCGUGCACAACGCUAUGUAUCCCGCUACGUGGGAUGUAUUAAACCUAAUGUAUCCCGUGCACAACUCUAUGUAUCCCGCAAACAUCAUUUUUAAGGGAUUUUUGGUAAAUAGAAAACUAGAAGGGAUAGGAUGUUAUUUAGUACUUAUAAUAUGUGGUUCCUAUAAUUUAUACAUUAUUUUAAGUAGUUGGCUUUUGAAAGGUCAAUAAUAAUGAAUAGGUGGUAAAAUGAAGCAUCCAUUGAAAACGAAGGUGUUGAAAAAAUAAAAAUAAAAAUUGGGGAAGGUGGACGACAA